rnacentral:piRNA from 1 species
UGGAAUCCAAUGUAUUCCAUUGCUUUUUCAC